UACGAAGGGGGCAAGCGUUGUCCGGAAUCAUUGGGCGUAAAGCGCGUGUAGGCGGCCAGGUAAGUCCGUUCUGAAAGCCCGGGGCUCAACCCCGGGAGGCGGAUGGAUACUGCUUGGCUCGAGUCCGGAAGAGGCGAGUGGAAUUCCCGGUGUAGCGGUGAAAUGCGCAGAUAUCGGGAGGAACACCAAUGGCGAAGGCAGCUCGCUGGGACGGUACUGACGCUGAGACGCGAAAGCGUGGGGAGCAAACAGG
rnacentral:rRNA from 1 species